rnacentral:rRNA from 1 species
GAAUAUUGGACAGUGGGCGAAAGCCUGAUCCAGCCAUGCCGCGUGUGUGAAGAAGGUCUUCGGAUUGUAAAGCACUUUAAGUUGGGAGGAAGGGUUGUAGAUUAAUACUCUGCAAUUUUGACGUUACCGCCAGAAUAAGCACCGGCUAACUCUGUGCCAGCAGCCGCGGUAAUACAGAGGGUGCAAGCGUUAAUCGGAAUUACUGGGCGUAAAGCGAGCGUAGGUGGUUUGUUAAGUUGGAUGUGAAAUCCCCGGGCUCAACCUGGGAACUGCAUUCAAAACUGACUGACUAGAGUAUGGUAGAGGGUGGUGGAAUUUCCUGUGUGGCGGUGAAAUGCGUAGAUAUAGGAAGGAACACCAGUGGCGAAGGCGACCACCUGGACUAAUACUGACACUGAGGUGCGAAAGCGUGGGGAGCAAAC